rnacentral:rRNA from 1 species
AUUGAACGCUGGCGGCAUGCCUAACACAUGCAAGCCGAACGGUAACAGGAAACAGCUUGCUGUUUCGCUGACUAGUGGCGGACGGGUGAGUAAUGUCUGGGAAACUGCCUGAUGGAGUGGGAUAACUACUGGAAACGGUAUCUAAUACCGCAUAACGUCGCAAGACCAAAGAGGGGGACCUUCGGGCCUCUUGCCAUCGGAUGUGCCCAGAUGGGAUUAGCUAGUAGGUGGGGUAACGGCUCACCUAGGCGACGAUCCCUAGCUGGUCUGAGAGGAUGACCAGCCACACUGGAACUGAGACACGGUCCAGACUCCUACGGGAGGCAGCAGUGGGGAAUAUUGCACAAUGGGCGCAAGCCUGAUGCAGCCAUGCCGCGUGUAUGAAGAAGGCCUUCGGGUUGUAAAGUACUUUCAGCGGGGAGGAAGGGAGUAAAGUUAAUACCUUUGCGCAUUGACGUUACCCGCAGAAGAAGCACCGGCUAACUCCGUG